UCUAUUCUGUUUUUCUAAAAAACAAAAAGAUAAUCUCUCUCUCACCCCUCUCCCUUUCUCUGCUAUUUCCUCAAAGUCCGGCUGAGGACCACUGGUCGUCCGUCGUGCCGUCGACCACCACGCACGGUGGCCGGAGUUCAAAAGGUAGCGAUAAGGGUGAUGGGACGGUGGCGUGCUGCAGGUGUGGCCAAUGGAGGCAAUGGGCAGGUGCUGCUGGUGGCAAAAGAUUAGCUAGGGUUUCAGCUUUUCUGAAACCCUAGUUUGAUUAAUGGGUCGAUUAGGUUUGGGCCAUUUGGGCUAGGGUAGUUAGGUUUAAUUUUAGGCAUCGAAUUUGGGUUAAAUUUUAGGUAUUGGGUUGAUGCUUUAGUUGGGGUUUAGUUUGGGGUUAUUUGGGCCUUUGGUGCUUGUUUUGUACCUGGACCAAAAUUGAGCCUCAACAAUGUUGAUGAACAUAAAUAAACAUAAGCAAGUAUUAAAUGAUUUAUUAAACAA